UGGUCAGUCCUCCAUAAAUGCAGAAUAUAAACUGAAGAAAUUGAGAAACUCUAGUGAACCGUUUACAAGUAAAGCAGAUAUGUCACAGGCAUUCUUUUUUCCAGGCUGUGCAGUCCUCCAAGGUCAAUGUCCUUUUAGCUGUGCCAUUUUUCAAAGUAUUUCCGGUCCACACAGAGGCACAGUGCCACAUCACAGGUCUUGUCCAUCAGCACUGUAUAUACUUUUUCAAAGAUGCUUACAAAUAAACAGCCACUUCCCCCCCCCACAUCCCCCAGAGUGAAUCGACGACUCCUUUAGGAUGAUUUUCUUCAUCUGCCGACGCGCUCCUCAAAUCAGAUCGUUUCCAUCAAAAUCAAGCGUUUCCAUCAUCCUCGUUUUCAAAAAGGGCGUCUAAAAUUUCCCGAGUAGAUAAAAACCUAGUGGAAGCCAAAGUGAUAAAUCAACACUCUUUUUUUUUCUGCUUUCCGUUUUUGGCAAAACGUGCCGAAGAUAGGCUUUCAUGCGUUGCUUAUUCUUACAGUAACGUGCGCACAAGAAGUACAUCAUUUUGUAUAAUAUUUAAAACUAAAUAUCCCUGCUUACUUUACGUAUGCAGACAGUAAUUAGGUAUCAUGAAGAUUGUCUUCUGUACUUUCACCUUCUGAUUGUUUCGGUCUUUCCGGGAGUUAUUCGGAGGAAAUGACGACAUGUGACUCGGACGUGGGGGCGUGUCCGUCGAGUUCAAGGAGUUAAUAAGGAUUAGUGAGUCUAUUCCAGAAGUAGCCAUGCAAGUUUUGGAUCAUGAGCAGAUCCUUUCUUUCUCCACACUUUGGCCUUUCCGUCACUUUGAUGGAGGUUAAUCUCGGUUCCAGAACUUUUGUGGAUCAUCUCUGUAUUUCUUUGUGAAUUCCAAUGUGGCUUUCUGGUUCUUACUGCUGAUGAGUGGUCUGCAGCUUGUGGUCUGGCCUCUAUAUUUCUGCAGUGGAUUGCGAUACCUUCACCUCAUCCCUGUGGAGGUUGCUGGUGAUGUCGCUGACUGUUGUUUUUCUUCACUGCUCUCAUAAUAUUUCUUUCAUCAAUCAUGAAAUGUUUCAUUUCCUUUGCUUGGUGUCUGGUUGUUAGUACACUAGUGGGUUCCUUUUUUUUUUUUUUAUAAAGAUAUUCCAAAUUGCUUGUGCAGUAUAGAUGUUUUUUUCUUUUCUCCCACAGACAGCUCUCUGGUCUUCAUGUUUGUUUAUCCUUUUUAACAACAAAUGCCAUCUUCACAGGCAAAACUCAGGGCUCAAACCAAGAGUAGACUUUCAGAGCUAUUAAUUGAUUAAACGAUCAAUUUAAAAUGGAACAUCACAAGACAGGUGUUUUGUGCAACAACCGUCAUCUUCCAAUACGGGUAAGUACAAACAAAAGGCGCUAUGUUGUAAGUUGUUUCGCACGUCUAGAUGUAAAUAUGAGGAAGUAAAGUUGAAAUCUCAUCUUUCUUUUGAUCUCAAAGAUAUAUUCUUUAGGGUAUAGCAGAAAGAAAAGAAUUGGCCUUGCCAUUCCAACGCAUUCAGAGGGGACUGUAUGUUCUGCCUUUACAAUACUGGGUUUGUUAACCUGUUGCUCAAUCAACAUAUAUAGCAGCAUAUUGGGGUCCAUUCCUAAUGAUUAACAAAAUUGCCUACUUUCACCGUGAAAUACACUGAAAUGAAUGUGUUUCCCGCUGUGUCUGCAGUAUUCAUUUUAAGUGAUUGGCUUUGUCCCCCACACUCCGUGAUAUAUGAGCUGAAAUGAGGAAAGUUCACCAUUCAUUAGAGCCACUUCUCUG
ensembl:lncRNA